rnacentral:snRNA from 1 species
GUGCUGGCUUCGGCAGCACAUAUACUGAAAUUGGAACGAUACAGAGAUUAGCAUGGUCCAUGUGCAAGGAUGACACGCAAACUCUUGAAGCUUUCCAUAUUUUU